rnacentral:rRNA from 1 species
UACGUAGGGUGCGAGCGUUGUCCGGAAUUAUUGGGCGUAAAGGGCUCGUAGGCGGUCUGUCGCGUCGGGGAGUGAAAACUCAGGGCUUAACCCUGAGCCUGCUUCCGAUACGGGCAGACUGGAGUACUGCAGGGGAGACUGGAAGUUCCUGGUGUAGCGGUGGAAUGCGCAGAUAUCAGGAGGAACACCGGUGGCGAAGGCGGCCAUCUGGACCGCAACUGACGCUGAGGCGCGAAAGCGUGGGGAGCAAACAGG